UGGGGAAUUUUGGACAAUGGGGGCAACCUUGAUCCAGCCAUUCCGCGUGAGUGAAGAAGGCCUUCGGGUUGUAAAGCUCUUUUGUCCGGAGCGAAACGGUGGCGGUGAAUAUCCGCCACUACUGACGGUACCGGAAGAAUAAGCACCGGCUAACUCUGUGCCAGCAGCCGCGGUAAUACAGAGGGUGCAAGCGUUAAUCGGAGUUACUGGGCGUAAAGGGCACGUAGGUGGUUAUAUAAGUCAGUUGUGAAAUCCCCGGGCUUAACCUGGGAACUGCAGCUGAUACUGUAUGACUCGAGUCGAAGAGAGGGAAGCGGAAUUUCCGGUGUAGCGGUGAAAUGCGUAGAUAUCGGAAGGACAUCUGUGGCGAAGGCGGCUUCCUGGCUUUCAGACUGACACUGAGGUGCGAAAGCGUGGGUAGCGAACAGGAUUAGAUACCCCAGUAGUCCCUGAGCGGGCUGGCAAGGCGCAU
rnacentral:rRNA from 1 species